GAAAAGCGAUAAAAUACAGAGGAAAUAAGAGUGGUCUUCUUGUUCAGGAUGGAGAAAGACCUUUAUUACAGGCUUUGAAGUUACUAUUUAUAGUGAUAUCUUCUCAGCCCACAUUAUUGGUCGGUUGAAAGUAGUGGCCGGGGGAGUGGUUGUAACCAUGAUCAUGGAAGUUACGCCCACUUCUCAUGAAAGUUAUGCUCCAUCGUGAAAGUUAUGCCCACUUCUCAACUGUUCCUGCCUAAAACCUUCAGGCGCCUUAUUGCCGACUCUUGGUGUACCACGUGUCCUUAUUGGCUCAUACGUAGAUUAGGUCGGCAUGUUAAUUUCAAUUUUGGCAUCAACAAUAUAAAAAUAGUUGGUCAAACUAACAACUUAGAAAAGAUUCCCACCCUGUUUGGCUCCUCCAGUUCCUAGAAUUCUAAAGAAUUGGAAUUCUAAUUUUUUCUUUAAAUUGUAUUUUGGAACUAUAAGUUAGGAAAUUCGAUUCCUUGGAAGAAUUUGAUGGGAUUUUUUAUAAUACAAGUUAAGGGACCCGCGCGAUAUUGCGGGUAGUUGUUUAAUUUGAAAUUCUAUAUUUUUGUUUUAUUCUGUUUAUUCAAAUCGUUAUAAAAAAGAAAAGACCUAUUACAAUGAAUUAGCUAUUGUAAAAUUUUAUUAAAUGGUUAAAUAUGUAGAGAUAGAGCAUUUGAUGAUUAAUAUUGUACAAUAAGAUAUGAUAUAAUAAAAAUAUUUGAAUAAUUUAUUAUGCCAUUGAAAUUUUAUAUUUUAUACAUAUUUUAGAAUAUAUUUAAGGUGCAAUGGAGCAAUGGGUACAUUCAAAAUUUUUAGUAGAUUUAUGGUAAUUUUUCAUUGGUUAAUGACUUAAUGGGUAUAGCUUUGUCACUUCUAAAAGAAAGGAGAAAAUAGCAAGCUGAUCUUAAGUAAUCAAUAUUUUUCAUUGGAUUUCGGAGGAAUGACUUCGUUAGGAUUGGAGUUGGUAAUUUUGAUGAGGGAAAUACAGUUAAAGGUGAAGCAGCAGUAACCACUCGAGGUGAUGAAGACUAGACACUGUUGUGGCAUAAAUAUUUGCUUACACUUAGUGUGUACUAAUUUUUUAUAUAUCGUACAGAAUAUUAUAUGGUUGAUAGAACAUUUGAUAAUUAAUACUGUAAAAUAUAAUAUAAUAUAAUAUAAUAUAAUAUUUAAAUAAUUUAUUAUGUCAUCAAAAUUUUAUUUUUGAUAUAUAUUUUAGAAUAGGUUUACGGUGCAAUGAGCACAUCUAAAAUUUUUUGUAGGCAUGUGGUAGUCCUCC
rnacentral:lncRNA from 1 species